CAGCCGCCGCGGGAAUACGAAGGGUGCAAGCGUUAAUCGGAAUUACUAGGCGUAAAGCGUGCGUAGGCGGUUUGUUAAGUCUGCUGUGAAAUCCCCGGGCUCAACCUGGGAAUGGCAGUGGAUACUGGCAAGCUAGAGUGUGUCAGAGGAUGGUGGAAUUCCCGGUGUAGCGGUGAAAUGCGUAGAGAUCGGAAGGAACAUCUGUGGCGAAGGCGACUAUCUGGGCCAACACUGACACUGAGGCACGAAAGCGUGGGGAGCAAACAGGAUUAGAUACCCCAGUAGUCCCUGUCUCUUAUAC
rnacentral:rRNA from 1 species